GACACCUCCUCACAAGAUCAUAUUUGCAUCUCCUCUUCACAUAUCACAACCAUUUUAGUCUCGCCUCCCGUAUAUUGUCCACCACAGAGGUCAAUCCCACCCUUUUCAAGUACCAUCAUUCCUAAUCACAUCUCUUUUUGUAUGCCCAUACAUCUAUCUCAGCAUCCUUGUUUUUUGCUACUUUCAUCUUCUGGACAUGUGAGUUUUUUACUGGCCUUCACUCUGCAC
rnacentral:lncRNA from 1 species